rnacentral:lncRNA from 1 species
AGCUGUAGCUCUGAUUCGACCCCUGGCCUGGGAACCUCCAGAAAGAAAGAAAGAAAGAAAGAAAGAAAAGAAAGAGAAAGAAGGAAAGAGAGAAAGAAAGAAGGAAAGAAAGAAAGAGAAGGAAAGAAAAGAGAAAGAAGGAAGGAAGGAAGGAAGGAGGGAAGGAAGGAAGGAAGGAAGGAAGGAAGGAAGGAAAGAAAGAAAGAAGAAAGAAAGAAAGAAAGAAAGAAAGAAAGAAAGAAAGAAAGGAGGAAGGGAGGGAGGGAGGGAGGGAGGGAGGGAGGAAGGAAGGAAGGAAGGGAGGAAGGGGAGAAAAUAAAUCCAAAGAAAGACAGGGAAAAUAUUCCUGGGGAAAGGGGCCAGGGAACAGAGACGAGAGUAGGUCUCCUAGCCUGGGACCUGGGUGCACUGCUGAGCCCCGCGGGGUGCGUCCGGUGUGUCCGUGAGAAAGGAAGCGGGUCUGGCUGGAGAAGAAGCUGCACUUGGGAGCCAAGAGGAAGCAGCUUGGGAGGCAGGUGAAGGAGGAAGUUCGUGCCUCAGCUUGACAAGUGCCAUCUGUGGGAGACGGUGACAAGACGUCAACUAUGCGAACUUCUUACAGGAGUUACCUCCAAAUGCUAAGGUAGGCAGGCCUUUUAUAAGAAAUGACAAAAUAGCAGUUAGUUCCUCAAUCACAGGUUUGUAGAUGAGAAGACUGUUGAGGAACAAAGCCUUGAAGUUAGGCUUUGCUGACAACCUGUUUCACCAGCAAGUGGUAAUAACCUGCUCUGUGGGUGAAACGAGAACAACUGGGCUCAAGGCCAACCAAUCUGAGACAGAAGUGUUGUUUUUAAAAAUGCAGCCCUGUAGACACUUGUCAAACCCCACACAUGCUUUAGAACAAAAAGCCUAAGUACCUGUUCUGAUGAAAUGCCCUUGGCUACUUUGUAGGAAAAAUACAAGCAGAGCUGGAAUCUCUGAGUCAGGAAAAAAAAAACCAACAACUACCAGUGCAGGUGAACCUUGCCAUCAGCCACACCUAGAAAAGAGACAGAAGCGACCGAGGGGAAAAUAAAGUUUGGUCUAAACCAGUCCCUGGACCGAAUUUUUUGCUUGUAACUGGAAAAGAGCUUCCCCCCCUGCUUGAGCCACCUUUGCUUGACACAAGCUGGGGGGUUGCUGGGUUUUUGUCUCAGUCUAGAGAUUUGGGCUUUGCCCCAGUGACUGAUGCUUGGCUUGGUGCAAAGGUCCCACAGGAAAUUCCUGGCAUGGGUUAAAGUGUCCAAACUUCAAAGCAG